UACGGGGGAGCAAGCGUUGUUCGGAUUUACUGGGCGUAAAGGGCGCGUAGGCGGUCGUGACAAGUCACUUGUGAAUCUCCGGGCUUAACUCGGAACGGUCAAGUGAUACUGUCGGACUAGAGUACAGAAGGGGCAACUGGAAUUCUCGGUGUAGCGGUGAAAUGCGUAGAUAUCGAGAGGAACACCUGCGGCGAAGGCGGGUUGCUGGGCCGACACUGACGCUGAUGCGCGAAAGCCAGGGGAGCGAACGGG
rnacentral:rRNA from 1 species